UACAGAGGUGGCAAGCGUUGUUCGGAAUUACUGGGCGUAAAGGGCGCGUAGGCGGCCCGCUAAGUCGAACGUGAAAUCCCCGAGCUCAACUCGGGAACUGCGUCCGAUACUGGUGGGCUUGAAUCCGGGAGAGGGAUGCGGAAUUCCAGGUGUAGCGGUGAAAUGCGUAGAUAUCUGGAGGAACACCGGUGGCGAAGGCGGCCACCUGGACGGUAACUGACGCUGAGACGCGAAAGCGUGGGGAGCAAACAGG
rnacentral:rRNA from 1 species